rnacentral:rRNA from 1 species
UACGAGGGGUGCAAGCGUUGCUCGGAAUUAUUGGGCGUAAAGGGUAGGUAGGUGGUCUCAUUUGUCUGGGGGUGAAAUCCUUGAGCUUAACUCAAGAAGUGCCCUAGAAACGGUGAGACUCGAGUCUUGGAGAGGGUCGUGGAAUUACCUUGGUGUAGCGGUGAAAUGCGCAGAAUAUCAGGAGGAACACCGGUGGCGAAGGGCGGG